rnacentral:rRNA from 1 species
UACGGAGGGUGCGAGCGUUGUCCGGAAUCAUUGGGCGUAAAGGGCGCGUAGGUGGCGGGACAAGCGUGCGGUGAAAGCCUGGGGCUCAACCCCGGGUCGGCCGUGCGAACUGUUUUGCUUGAGCACUGUAGAGGCAGGCGGAAUUCCGGGUGUAGCGGUGGAAUGCGUAGAGAUCCGGAAGAACACCAGUGGCGAAGGCGGUUAGCUGGGCAGUUGCUGACACUGAUGCGCGACAGCGUGGGGAGCAAACAGG